rnacentral:lncRNA from 1 species
CAAACAAUGAAGCACAUUUUCGGCUUUCUGGCACCAGGUCCCAUUAGUUUCUCUCUCUCUCUCUCCACAGAUAGCUUGAUGGAGGAUAUGGAUGUUGACCUAGAGAUAGUUUCUGCAUGAUCUGAAAGAUUUAAAGAUUUUGGUUAAUGACAAAGACAUAGACCAACAUAAAAGGUAAGAUGGGUGAACCAUGUGUAUGAAAGUGCUUGUGGGGGUUUAUAGAAAUGUUUCCGCCAUUGAUGUCUUUUUUGGUCCCCCUCUUGACUCUCUUCUCUCUUGUGUCUCUUAGCCUGGUGUGUGCUUCUCUGAUGGGAAAAAGCGAAGUCUACAAGUUGAUGGAGGCUAACUUCAAAAAUCUUUCUAGAGUGCUGAUAAACCUUGCAUCUGAACUCACACAUACCAAAGAUGUCAGAGAUGUAUUCAUUGACCUUGUGGAGGAAACGAACAACAUCAGUGCAAUGAUGGUCCAGGCCCGUGCUGUGACCGGCCCCGAAGAGUACAACCUGGAGAUGGUGUCUGUCAACCCACUCAUGAUUUAUCAGACUUGCUCUGCCCUACGACUGUCUGUCUUUGUAGGACCAUCUGAGGAGACAGAUGGAGCAAAGAGAAGGAAAUGGAAAUAGAGAGUGGGAGACAGAUGUGAGAUGAGAAUAACUGUUAAGGACAUGAGACAGGAACAUUUCUCAGACACAUUACUACUAUACAUGUAUCUUAAAGAAAUCUGCCCGGGGCAAAGCAAGUUGUAAAACCAUUCUUCCAUAAUUCUGUGAGUCACCACAAACACACAUGCUCAUGCACACGCAUGCAGACUGGUGAGGCUUUAAAUCGGAGGACGGCUCAUUUGUAGUGACUGGAAUGGAAUAAAUGGAACAUAUCAAACAUGUUUUUAAUACUGAUCGAUUUAUUCCGUGCCAGACAUUAUUAUUAGUUGUCCUCCCUUCACCAGCCUCCUCUGACACACGUACGCAUGGCACACUGGCACACCCUGGAAUCUAGCCUCUGCAGUGUGCAUCAUGUUUUCAAUAGUUUCUUGCUCCACAAAAGACUAGCCAAGAGGGUCCAUUAUCUUGUUACCAAGGCAACUGAUAAAAACAUCCAUUCAAAGCUACCAUUUCAACCCAUGUCAUACUGUGUUAUUUUUCUCUCCAUCAGGGUCGUUCUCUUGCUCUCCUCUCAUCCUAACUGUUCUCCAGAUAGUUCACUCUUAACUGUAAAGAAUUAACAUUGCUUGUUCCUAUUCUUUUUUUUUUUUUUUUACAAUUUAUGUUUGUUUUGUCAUGUUACUAAAAUGAAAAGUGAUGAAAGCAACAUUUGGGUGAAUGUUUCUUUUAGUUGCUGUUCCUCUUCCACCUCCCUGCUCAUGCAGACGCUUAACCUUUCUCUUACCACCUCUUCUGCUUAAUUAAGGACCAAUAAUGGGUUCUCUUGCUGACCAUCUUUUCUCUCUUUCAUUCACUCUGUCACGUUUGCUUAUUUCCUUUUCAGUACAAACACAGAUAAAUGCACUCUUUCAAAACAAGGGACACUGCUAAUUACACUACAGUACGUGCAGUUACCAUAGUUUAGCAUCUUACUUUAAAUUGCCAAAUGACCCUAACUACAGGUUUAAACGUCACCCUAGCUACAUUUUUAAACAUCUUUUAAAUGAAUAGCCUACAACUUAAAAGUUGGUAACAUUUGGUUUAGUCAACAAAGUCUCCUUGUUAUUUCAGCUUUAUCAAUGUAAUUAUGUUGCAUCGAUGUGGCUAGUUGGUUGAAUUUGCGUGAGGUCAUUAGCAUGCACAGUCUUUGUCUCAUUUUAACCCAGAUGUCAACCAAAAAUCAACAAUCGGGUUCAAAUGUACAAUUCGGUCACAAAUCAACCAAAUGGUUGAUCUGACGUCUUGGUGAGUCAUGUAGCUGUGUAAUGGUUCAAAUGAAUCUAAAAGUGGUUGACAUUAUAGCCCUGUUUAUACUUGGUUCUAACGUGCAGCCUUUUUCUGGAUCUUAUCCACAUUCUGAUUGUGCCCACAUUUUUGGACAAGUGUAGACGAUUAAAAGAUGCAUCGUGAUCUGAUUGUGAUCAGAUCUUAUAAGUGUGAACAGACAAGAUCAAGUCAAGAUUAGGACGAUGGACACAUGUUAACGGAAAGUAUAAACAGGACUUAUGUGAAUCGUCCGCUGUAGAAUUGACUCUUACCUAAGACAUGAAUCACAGUUAUCUGUAACCUAAAAAAUGAUUUGGAGAAAUGUAUGUUAUUGUCGUGUCA